rnacentral:rRNA from 1 species
ACGGGGGCCCGCACAAGCGGUGGAGUAUGUGGUUUAAUUCGACGCAACGCGCAGAACCUUUACCUGGUCUUGACAUCCCGGGAAUCUUGUGGAAACACGAGAGUGCCUCGCAAGAGGAGCCUGGAGACAGGUGCUGCAUGGCUGUCGUCAGCUCGUGUCGUGAGAUGUUGGGUUAAGUCCCGCAACGAGCGCAACCCUUGUCAUUAGUUGCUACAUUCAGUUGGGCACUCUAAUGAGACUGCCGGUGACAAGCCGGAGGAAGGUGGGGAUGACGUCAAGUCCUCAUGGCCCUUAUAGGUGGGGCUACACACGUCAUACAAUGGCUGGUACAAAGGGUUGCCAACCCGCGAGGGGGAGCCAAUCCCAUAAAGCCAGUCGUAGUCCGGAUCGUAGUCUGCAACUCGACUACGUGAAGUCGGAAUCGCUAGUAAUCGUGGAUCAGAAUGUCACGGUGAAUACGUUCCCGGGUCUU